rnacentral:sRNA from 1 species
GCUGGGUGCGGUAGCGCAUGCCUGUAAUCCCAGUGGCUCGGGAGGCUGAGGCAGGAGAAUCUCGAGUUCAAAGCCAGCCUCUG